CCUGGCACUGAGAACUGAAUUCCAUAGGCUGUGAGCUCUAGCAAAUGCCCUGUGGACUCAGUUCUGGUGCCCGG
ensembl:miRNA MIR146B microRNA 146b